CGAGUUUCCGGCGAACUUCCGUCGAUCAUUCGAUGAACCCUCGGUGAUGCUCCUGCGGACUUCUGGCAAACUCCUGGACUUGCGACGAUCCACUUGGCAAGUUCCGACGAGCUUCUUUGGCAAGCUUCUGGACUUCUCGGAUUUGUUCCCGCAGAACCUCCGACGACUGUCCGAACUUCCGUCGAGCUCUCGAACUCCCAACGUGAUC
rnacentral:lncRNA from 1 species